rnacentral:rRNA from 1 species
UUCGGUGUGUAAACUCCUUUUAUAAGGGAAGAUAAUGACGGUACCUUAUGAAUAAGCACCGGCUAACUCCGUGCCAGCAGCCGCGGUAAUACGGAGGGUGCAAGCGUUACUCGGAAUCACUGGGCGUAAAGGAUGCGUAGGCUGGAAAUCAAGUCGAGAGUGAAAUCCAACGGCUCAACCGUUGAACUGCUCUCGAAACUGGUUACCUAGAAUAUGGGAGAGGUAGAUGGAAUUGGUGGUGUAGGGGUAAAAUCCGUAGAUAUCACCAGGAAUACCGAUUGCGAAGGCGAUCUACUGGAACAUUAUUGACGCUGAGGCAUGAAAGCGUGGGGAGCAAACAGGAUUAGAUACCCUGGUAGUCCACGCCCUAAACGAUGCACACUAGUUGUUGCGAUGCUAGUCAUUGCAGUAAUGCACUUAACAGAUUAAGUGUGCCGCCUGGGGAGUACGGUCGCAAGAUUAAAACUCAAAGGAAUAGACGGGGACCCGCACAAGCGGUGGAGCAUGUGGUUUAAUUCGAAGAUACACGAAGAACCUUACCUGGCCUUGAUAUCCUAAGAAUCCUUUAGAGAUAAGGGAGUGCUAGUUUACUAGAACUUAGAGACAGGUGCUGCACGGCUGUCGUCAGCUCGUGUCGUGAGAUGUUGGGUUAAGUCCCGAACGAGCGCACCCUCGUGAUUUAGUUGCUAACAGUCCGGCUGAGCACUCUAAUCAGACUGCCUUCGCAAGGAGGAGGAAGGUGAGGACGACGUCAGUUCAUCAUGGCCCUUAUGGCCAGGGCUACACACGUGCUACAAUGGCUAGGACAAGGAGACGCGAUACUGCGAGGGGAGCAAAUCUUAAACCUAGUCUCAGUUCGAAUGGGAGUCUGCACUCGACUC